rnacentral:rRNA from 1 species
UACCAGCACCCCGAGUGGUCGGGACGAUUAUUGGGCCUAAAGCAUCCGUAGCCGGUUCUACAAGUCUUCCGUUAAAUCCACCUGCUUAACAGAUGGGCUGCGGAGGAUACUAUGGAGCUAGGAGGCGGGAGAGGCAAGCGGUACUUAGUGGGUAGGGGUAAAAUCCGUUGAUCCAUUGAAGACCACCAGUGGCGAAGGCGGCUUGCCAGAACGCACUCGACGGUGAGGGAUGAAAGCUAGGGGAGCAAACGGG